AGUGACUUGAGGCGGCUGGUCACAUUGCAUCCACAGUCAGGAAGCAGAGAGCAAUGAGUGCUGGUGCUCAGCUCACUCCUUUUUAUUCAGUAUGGAACCUCAGUCUGUAGAAUGAUGCUGCUCACAGUUUAGGGUAGGUCUUACCAUCUCAACUAACCCAAUCUAGGAACUCCCUAGCGUUUUUCUAGAUACCCAUAGGUAUGUUUCCAUGGUGAUUCUAAAUUCCAUCAGGUUAACCGUCAAGAUGAACCAUCAGAAGAGCAUAGCUACCCACUCACAGGCUUUGAGACCAAUUGUAAAAUAAGCCCACAAAAGACAUGGAAGGGAUAAUGUACAGUGUCUACGAAAUGGCUCACUGGGAAGCCCACUAAGCCUCAUGUCAGUUUUCCAAAAAAGAAGUCCAAAUCUGCUUGGGGCACCACGCAAGAACACUUGCUCUGCCAGCCCUGAAUGUCCAGAAGAGCCGCCGUGAAUCCUCUCUUCCUAUUUAUCUCAGUGAUGAGUUCUCGGAGCCCUUGGUCUGCCAGUUCCAUUAUCUUUACCCGUCUCUGACAAAAGCGUAGCUGUGGGGAGAGAUAAUAUUUUCUUAAUCAAAUGAGCAUCAGUGAGCUCCAUGCGGCAGCUCCUGACACGUUUUUAAUGACUUGAUUCUUUGGUAGUUUCUCUUAGGAGAAAGCCUUCGGGUGUGAUAUGAAUAUGAAGGACUGUGCUGCAUUUAUUCAUCUUCUAUUUUCUUUUAACUUUAAGGGGUAGCUGUAGAAACUCCUGAACCUUUCGGCUUCCUACAUAGACAACAGAGAGAAGGAAUUUUAAUUAUUAAGAUGGUUUGAUCCAUUUCAACUUCCAAUUUGGAGCUUCAGGCAUAAAAACAAACAGCCCAGUGACAUUUUUGGUGUCACCAGGGCCGCUGCAGUACUGAAGCUCCGCUUGCGUCCAUGGCCUUGUGAAAGCAACUCGGAGGAAAGGACAGAAUUGCAAAAGGAAAAUGUCAACCACAAAAUCUGCCACAGCAGCCUCAGAGAAAUAAGGUAGUGCUUUGGAGAGAGAGAGUUGGAUGCGCUGCAGGAGGACUUCUCGGGAGCGCGGAAGGGAUGGCUGGCUUGGCCGUUAUGAGCAACUGCUGCUCUUGCAGAGGACCCGAGUUCAGUUCCCAACAUCCACGUCAGACGUCUCACAAUCAGCUAGUGACUGCAGCUCCGGGGCCUCAGAUAGCUUAAGUAAUUUACUCAAGAUAAUGUAAUUGAGAAGGAUCUGACUGGACCUCAGCUCCAAGACAUAGUCACAUUGCCAGAGACAGCCAGGUCCGUAGACGAGUGAUUCCAAGCCGUGUCCACUGACUGGCCACCAGGACUUACGUAGCCGGAAGAUGAAGCAGUACUUGCUGAGAAAUUCAUGACUCUACAUGACUACAUUGAUAAAGGAGAGAAAAAAAAACAAUGAGCUAAUAGGACAAGGGAAAACAAUAAAUUCCAAGAAUAUAGAAAGAGGAAAACCAUCACCUUGAAGAGGAAAGUGCCUGAGAAAUUAACAAAGCGGAGGAAAAGUUAAGGCGGAAAAAGCUGUUCUGGUUUGUUGCUCAGAAUAAUGUCUGAACACACAGCAUUUAUUUCCCCUCCCUCUGGAGAGGAUGUUAAGAUGCAGCUACAGGAAUGAGGAAGGACAAAAUCAGCAGCGAUGGAGAGAACCAGAAGGCACCACCCAUGGAUGAGCGAUCUUGAUAAGUUUAUGCAAGAUGAGAAGUGGGUAGGCACUGCUUCUGGGAGUGGAUGAAUAUUCCAAAGGGCCCUGCUGCUAAAAAACGGAGCUGCAUAAGUUACAACAAACAGAACUGCAAACACCUUGCCGAGAUCACAAAUCAGUGCGAGAAAUCUCUAAUAAGCCAAUGCAGAGGAAGGAAGGAGGAGGAAGAGAGGAAAAGCCAAAGUGAAAAAAGAAAAGUCACGGGUGUAGCCCCCUGGGUUCACAGCUGGCUCAGUGGCUGGCAGUUCCUUCUCCAGUGGCGUGCAUAGCAUCUUCCAGCAUUAUGAGAGCUGGCUAGUAGGAGAUGAAGCUGCCGGGUCAGCACAGGCUUGAUCUCUCCAUGUUCUAUGGCUCGAGUGUGUGACGUCAUCAGCAACAGAGUCUUACUGUCGAGUUCUGGAAGGUAACCAAGAACACUGACAACAGUCUUUAGUGUUUAGGGAUCUAUGUGACCUCCCUGGGGAACAACUC